GGCCCUGAUGCCACGUCUCUGGUUGCCACAAGCCUUCAACGGAGAUGCUACAUUGUGCUGAUAGAGAUUUUCACAUUCGAUAAGAACCCGUGGUUGUGAUUCAGGCGGUACACAGGGCUGUUUUGUGUGAUUACAUUU
rnacentral:snoRNA from 1 species